CCGCCCCCCGGCCGCCGCUCCGCCCCCACCGGCCGCGGGCGGGGCCGCACCGGGCCGGAGCGGGGCGGCCGGGGCGGCUGCGGCGGCCGCUGGAGGGGGCGGCCCGGUCCGGGCCCCGGCCCCGGCCCCCGGCCCCCGGCCCCGCCUCCGCCAGCGGCAGGGCGCGGCACCCGCCCGGGCUUCUCACCGGGAGGCAGGGCCCUGCUGGGCGAGGCCGCUGCCUCGGGGCCGGGCCCGGGGGGAGGGAGGUGCGGGGGCCUGCGGUGCUGGGCGGGUGGCAGCACGGCGUUGAGGAGAAACUACCGUGAACUGGGCGUUUGGAAAGGCUUGCCGUUGCGGCCCACCUGCCUUUGAGCUUAGGCCUCUUCCAGGCCUGCGAGAAGCCCGGGACGGUGUGGGGCUGCAGCUCCGUGGUCAGCGGGAAUGAAUCCCAUCAACGCCCUCCGUGUGCCUGCGCCGUGCUGGAUGCACCGUAAAGAGUUGGUGAGGAUGAUUGCGGUAUCUCUGGGGAAGAAGAUGCGGUAUCUUUGCAGACCGGUCAAGGAAAGGGAUUGCACAUGAGUUGGGCUGCCUCGGGGAAAGCAGAGCUGGCUGAGGAAGAAGCAGUCAUUUGGGUGCAAAGAGCCUGAGUAACUCCGAGGCCGAUUGCCCUCAGGGGAACGGACUUGGACAUCAGGGAAUGGACUUGGACAUAACGGUGAACCAUCACAGGAGUCUGCUGAGGAUUGCUGAGGACGGGACUGAGACUGGGAAUAACCAGCUUGUGGGGUUUGAUGGAUGUCCUGGAAAAUGUGAGCCUCUUGUCUGACCCACCUGCCAGAUUGAAGCGAUUUAACCAGAUCUUUCAAUCUCAAGCAGUGGCUGCUUUGGAGAAGGCGGAGGAUUUGGCAUGUCAUGUUUCAGGGCAGUUCGGAGGAGAAGGGACACUCUGGGUCAGAGCUUUGGCCACGCUGCUGAAUCCCCGUGGUGGUUAACCUGAGCUGGCCCACGCUGCCUGGCCCUCAGGCUGUGAGGUGCUGGGCACAUCCCUUGGCUGCAGGAUGAGCUUCCCCAGCUGGUGAUGGCAGCAGGGCAGCUCCCACUUGGUCCCAGCAAUUAUACCACCUGCCUUGGCCUUGCCUUUAUCCAUGAGUGCAGCAAGGAGUUCUCAUGCAAAACUGCUUUCUGGCUGAGAGUACAGGUGACGAAUAGGGCUGGGUCUUUUCGGAGAAAAUCCUGUAACAGCCCAAACGACCAAAGUGGGGUACCCCUUCCACAGAUGGGACCUGCGGGGCAUGCUGCAUGAUGGUUGGAAGCCUGUCGGGUGCCGCACAGCUUGUGGGUCCCAGCAUUUAAAGGGACCCAAGAUUAUCUGUGUUAUCCUCUGUUUACGGUGCUAGCUCUAAUAAUUAGCAUAUUUGGUGAUACUUUAUGGAGUCUUAGUGCCUUUCUUACUGGGAUCGUAGUGAGCCGGCACCUCCCAGUGCAAAAUAGCUGCCUCUUCCCUGACUUGCUAAUACAGGAGGUUUUCUCAUUACACUGAUCUGGCAAAGACAGCGAGUAAUAAUGUUUCUUGAUUUUGCUGUCUUUGAUUUUAGAAUGAACUUCUUCCACCCUGGAGGGACAGAACAGACAUGCAGAUUUUCAAGAGCAUGCAGUUCUCCACAGAAUUUGUUCAGGAUUUGCCUGACACUGGAAUGUUCAGUUAAACCCCACUUGAUAUUUGUCAUCUGUUAAUGGCUUUGGAUAUAAUUUUUUCAUAGAAAGAAACAUUCUGUAAGCUGAAUUUCUGCACCAGACUGCUUUACCUGCUCCUCUGAUGGCAGCAGUUAAAAGAUUUUCCUAUGCAGCUUACUAAAGAUGAAUAAAAAUGAAUGCAAAAAAAAAAGCAUUUAAAGGA